UGGGGAAUAUUGGACAAUGGGCGAAAGCCUGAUCCAGCCAUGCCGCGUGAGUGACGAAGGCCUUAGGGUUGUAAAACUCUUUCGUCGGGGACGAUAAUGACGGUACCCGAAGAAGAAGCUCCGGCUAACUUCGUGCCAGCAGCCGCGGUAAUACGAAGGGAGCUGGCGUUGUUCGGAAUCACUGGGCGUAAAGCGCACGUAGGCGGAUAGUUAAGUCAGGGGUGAAAUCCUGGGGCUCAACCCCAGAACUGCCUUUGAUACUGGCUGUCUCGAGGUCGAGAGAGGUUGGUGGAAUUCCUAGUGUAGAGGUGAAAUUCGUAGAUAUUAGGAAGAACACCAGUGGCGAAGGCGGCCAACUGGCUCGAUACUGACGCUGAGGUGCGAAAGCGUGGGGAGCAAACAGGAUUAGAUACCCCAGUAGUCCCUGAGCGGGCUGGCAAGGCGCAU
rnacentral:rRNA from 1 species